UACGAAGGGGGCUAGCGUUGCUCGGAAUCACUGGGCGUAAAGCGCACGUAGGCGGACUCUUAAGUCGGUGGUGAAAUCCUGGAGCUCAACUCCAGAACUGCCUUCGAUACUGGGAGUCUCGAGUCCGGGAGAGGUGAGUGGAACUGCGAGUGUAGAGGUGAAAUUCGUAGAUAUUCGCAAGAACACCAGUGGCGAAGGCGGCUCACUGGCCCGGUACUGACGCUGAGGUGCGAGAGCGUGGGGAGCGAACCGG
rnacentral:rRNA from 1 species